AAUACAAUAAAGAAUUAACCAGCACUAUGGCAGGGAACUUUUACAAAGCAAACUAGAAAAUCUUUACGAAGAAGCGCUUUCGAAUUUUAUUGAAUUCGUCUUCAGCUUCCAUUACACGAAUACAUUUAAAAACAAUUAUACGUUUGGUUACUAUGGUAACAAUAAACAUUGAGUUCAACUUACAAUAAGAUAUAACAUAGAAAUUAUAUAUGAAUUGUAGCUUAUAAUACUGAAAAUAUACAAAAAAAUAAAAAACUAUAGCGAUUAACAUCUAUAAACUUAUUUAUUUACAAAUAAUAAGUACAAAAUUAAUUUAGGACGGUCCUUUCAUCUAUCAUAUUAAAUGGCUAUAUUAAAAAGAUUAAAUGGUUAUUAUGGAACCAGGUUAAGAGGAAACAAAGAACUUCUUCGCCACCUGCACAUGAAGUCUUAUCAUUAGGAUCCAACUCUUACAGUCCAGAGCAUUCCGACUUGGCAAAAUCUUGCAAUACAGCUAGAACCAGUGUUAUCACAGUGUCACCCAGUAAAAGCGGAAGAAAUCAGAUGACAGAUGGCCAGCACUAUCAAGAAUUACAAUGCUUCUGAUAUACAAUCUUUGCGCACCAAAAUACUAAAUACUAAGAGAUGGAUGGAUUCGAACAAUGUAGUAUGUGCAAGAGAUGACAAAUCAAGAAUGAUGAUUCUUCUCAAAAAAGAAAUGUACGAUGCAUUUCUCUAUACCUUCAUAGAAAAAAGCGGGAGUCAGCAGUUGACAUCGGAUCCUACGGACAAGCUAGACAGACAGAUACGCACAAUUUUGAGGAACGAUAAGCUCCCCCCAUUCUAAAGAACAGCCUUUGUGAGAUCACCAGCACCUCCUAGACUAUUUGCCUUCAUUAAAUGCCAUAAAGAUCCUAUAGAGGCAAGACCAGUAGUAGAGAGAAUGUAUGCGCCCUCAUACCAAUUAGAAAAGCGACUAGUGAAAUGAUGUUUCCAAAAAAUGAAAGAUUAUCAGUUUACCACUGUUAUCUAAGAACUUAAUAGAUGUUUUAUUAGAGAAGGGUCCUAUGCAGAACAACUCAUGGAAGUUCUUGAC
rnacentral:lncRNA from 1 species